rnacentral:tRNA from 1 species
UAUACUAAAGUGUUUUGAUGCACUUUAAUUUUUGAAGUUAAAAGAUUUAGUUUAAUUCUAAAUAGUAUAAU